GGAAUAACCUCGGGAAACCGGGGCUAAUACCGCAUAACAUCUUCUGGCUGAGAUGCCGGUUGCUCCUUACUUUGCAAUGCGCUUGAAGAGGGGGUCGCGGCUGAUUAGCUAGUUGGUGAGGUAACGGCUCACCAAGGCGAUGAUCAGUAGCCGGCCUGAGAGGGCGCUCGGUCACACUGGAACUGAAACACGGUCCAGACUCCUACGGGAGGCAGCAGUGGGGAAUUUUGCGCAAUGGGGGAAACCCUGACGCAGCAACGCCGCGUGGAGGAUGAAGUCCCUUGGGACGU
rnacentral:rRNA from 1 species